CAGUUUUUCUUGCCAUUUUGAGAAUACACCAAUCUCUUUUAUAUUGAACUUUGCAAUCGAUUCGUUCUUUGUGACUGCAAUGGCCUUUGCAAGCAGUUGCGCUCAAGAAUGUUUCCUCGCUAGCAAAGGCUGUAUUGUGUCAUCGAACCCAGUUAUGUUAUGAAAAAAGCUUUGGAAGUUGCAUGUGGCAAAUUUGCAGAAUGGGAAUCUCUGAAGAGGGAGCCGUUUUGGAAGGAGAUUUUCAUGGUGGUUGAGUAAAGAACAAAGUAAUCCUGUGGUGCCUGAGACACUUGCAUGUAAACCGGUUUCAGAUAUUCGUGUUAUUACUGAAAUUAACAUACAAACUUUACAAAUAGGACCUUGUAUAUGAUCACCAGUUCCUGGGAAGCAUUUAUAAGAUCACGAACCCUCAACACUUGUUAACUGGUCUCUUUGUUGCAUGCGUGAUAAAGGACUAACAGAACUGCAAAUUCUUGAAAACAACGUUGCUGUAUGUAUUAUUUACUCUAUGUUUUGUAUCCUGAAUAUACCACUUGGGUGUGUGUGUUCUUAUGCGUGUCGAAAUGGAUAGGCCUUUCACUAAUGACAACGAUGCGAUGCUCCCAUUCUCAACAUAAUUACAAAUAUGCCAAAUGCCUUCUACAGGAUAGGAGAGCCGCUUGCAGAAGUUCAAACUUCCAGAACCUGUUCCUUGCAUUGGGGGAAUUUUGCAGAACAAUUGGACAUAGUUGAUCAUAGAGAAGUUAUUAAUGGUUUAUUCUUUAUAUGUGUGUCGCACAUUCAAGCUAAUGGCCGAUCAUUAUCACCUGCAUUUGGUGUUGAAAUAGUUGAACCAUCUGGAAGGUUUGUAUUAGAAGGCUAGAUUUAGACUGCACCAGGGUUACCUGAAGAUGAUGGACCUUGUCCCUUUCUUGGUGGGUAUGUAGAGGUCAAUGUACGGUGGAGCAGAUUUUGAAUAUAUUGAAGGGACAAGGUGUAGAAGUACAGGAAUACAAUUGAAACUUAGAGAAUGACAAGUCAGCUUUCUAAUCCUGUUACCUGUUUAUAGCCGUAGGUGCUCAAGUGAUGCUUGUAUAUCUGGUGUUGCAGAAAAUGAAUGUUCCAGCAUUCUUACGGCUCAUUUGAUAAUCACAUGAAAGUACAAGUCAGAUAUUUAAUUAUACAGCCUUGAUAUGUAGAUUUUAAACUUGUUUACGAUGAAUCAACGAGGGAAUAUGAGAUAGAUGGUUUGAAUUACCAUAAAUUUCCAGUGAAUGAACUAUUUCAGAAUUAAGGAAGGUUGUAUGCUUCUAGUCAAAUUGCUCACCAGCACGCCAUCACUGCUCUGCAAAUGCAUCAUGUGAGAUGAAUAAACUAACAAACUAGCAGUGAUCAAUCUUUGAGCAAUGCUAUUCAAUCGUGGAUCAAGCCCUAAUGAUACAGGAAAUAACUUUCUGGAAGAGCCUUGACAGUCUUCGCAGAUGUUGCAGCACUCGUUGGAUUGUGCAAUGAUUCAGAAGCUGAGAAUCCUUGAGAAAAGCUAUGGUGCCAUUUUCCACACGAUGACGGUAGCUGUGGGAACCUUGUCCUGCAAAGAUGGCCCGUGUCGGUGAUUUUUUUUUUCUUAUCAAACGUUUUAUACAAGCCAUCAAAAUUCUAAGCAUUUAGAUAAAUUAAAGUUUAAUGAGACACUGAUGAACAUGUUGUUCUAUCUAUACUUGUAAAAAUUUAGACUACGAGCACGAACAGGCCCCAGAGUUUUCAAGCAGAUUAAACAUCCAAGUAUAAAAAUCAGAUUAAUGUCUGUUAGGCGUGUUCUGAAUUAUCAUGU